ACUCCUACGGGAGGCAGCAGUGGGGAAUAUUGCACAAUGGGGGAAACCCUGAUGCAGCCAUGCCGCGUGUGUGAAGAAGGCCUUCGGGUUGUAAAGCACUUUCAGUAGGGAGGAAGGUAGUGUAGUUAAUAAGCUGGCGCAUUAUUUUGACGUUAGCGACAGAAGAAGCACCGGCUAACUCCGUGCCCAGCAGCCGCGGUAAUACGGAGGGUGCGANCGUUAAUCGGAAUUUACUGGGCGUAAAGCGCAUGCAGGUGGUUUGUUAAGUCAGAUGUGAAAGCCCGGGGCUCAACCUCGGAAUUGCAUUUGAAACUGGCGGCUAGAGUACUGUAGAGGGGGGUAGAAUUUCAGGUGUAGCGGUGAAAUGCGUAGAGAUCUGAAGGAAUACCGGUGGCGAAGGCGGCCCCCUGGACAGAUACUGACACUCAGAUGCGAAAGCGUGGGGAGCAAACAGGAUUAGAUACCCUGGUAGGUA
rnacentral:rRNA from 1 species